UAGUCAUAUGCUUGUCUCAAAGAUUAAGCCAUGCAUGUCUAAGCACAAGCCGAUUAAUGGUGAAGCCGCGAAUGGCUCAUUACAACAGCCAUAGUUUCUUAGAUCUUACUUUUCUACUUGGAUCACUGUGGUAAUUCUAGAGCUAAUACACGCAAACAAGCUCAGACCUUACGGAAUGAGCGCAUUUAUUAGAACAAAAACCAAUCGGGCUUCGGCCCGUCAUUUGGUGAAUCUGAAUAACUUUGCUGAUCGCACGGUCAUCGUACCGGCGACGUAUCUUUCAAAUGUCUGCCUUAUCAACUUUCGAUGGUAGUUUAUGCGCCUACCAUGGUUGUAACGGGUAACGGAGAAUAAGGGUUCGACUCCGGAGAGGGAGCCUGAGAAACGGCUACCACAUCCAAGGAAGGCAGCAGGCACGCAAAUUACCCACUCCCGGCACGGGGAGGUAGUGACGAAAAAUAACGAGACGGCUCGCUAUGCGGUCCGUCAUCGGAAUGGGUACAAUUUAAAUCCUUUAACGAGGAUCUAUU
rnacentral:rRNA from 1 species